UGGCGUGCAGCCACCACGUUAGCUGACUGUUUCCGCUGGUCCUCCCUCCGGUUUCCUUCCAGGUUGUAAUUUCUGCAGUGAUUUCAAGAGGCAGGACCCAUUGAUGCCAACAUUUCUGUUCGGGUUUGAGUUCAUUGUCCUGCAAAGUCGAAAAAUUAGUUCACGGACAAAGAUGCUUCUGUAGGUCCAGGACCUGGCAGAGCGGCUGCUCUCCCUCAAGGUCGCUCUCAAGGCUGAAAUCAAGGUCAUGCCAAGGUUCCCCUCCUGUGGUUCCUUGUGGACUGUGGCUGGAGGCGGCCCUUAUUUCUUGUCACAUGGACUUUCCCAGCAGGGCAGCUUGCGUCAUCGCCAAGUAAAGGCAAAGUUCAGGACAACAAUGUAUAUCUGAGCACAUUUGAAAAGGACCCAUGUCAGUGACAGCCACACAAUUGCACAAGGGACUCCGUUCUCAGAGCUCUGUGAGCUGGUUAACCGCCAGCAUGAUGGGGGCGGGGCGGGGGGACCAUUCCCAGGAGAGGAAAGAAAAUAUUUUAUUAGAA